GCCGGGUGUGGUGGUGCAUACCUGUAGUCCCAGCGGCUUGGAGCCUGAUGCAGGAGGAUCACAAGUUUGAGGCCAGACUCAGUGAUUUACUCAGGCCCUAAGGAACUUAGUGAAGCCCUGUCUCAA
rnacentral:sRNA from 1 species